AUUGAACGCUGGCGGCAUGCCUUACACAUGCAAGUCGAACGGUAACAGGUCUUCGGAUGCUGACGAGUGGCGAACGGGUGAGUAAUACAUCGGAACGUGCCUAGUAGUGGGGGAUAACUACUCGAAAGAGUGGCUAAUACCGCAUGAGAUCUACGGAUGAAAGCAGGGGAUCGCAAGACCUUGUGCCACUAGAGCGGCCGAUGGCAGAUUAGGUAGUUGGUGGGAUAAAAGCUUACCAAGCCGACGAUCUGUAGCUGGUCUGAGAGGACGAUCAGCCACACUGGGACUGGGACACGGCCCAGACUCCUACGGGAGGCAGCAGUGGGGAAUUUUGGACAAUGGGCGCAAGCCUGAUCCAGCAAUGCCGCGUGCAGGAUGAAGGCCUUCGGGUUGUAAACUGCUUUUGUACGGAACGAAAAGCCCUGGGUUAAUACCCCGGGGUCAUGACGGUACCGUAAGAAUAAGCACCGGCUAACUACGUGCCAGCCGCCGCAGUAA
rnacentral:rRNA from 1 species